UAAACCCUUUGUGCUUGAAACAGAUCACAAGCCACUGAUGUACUUGGAAAACUUUAAAGGGUCAAAUAGCAGACUCUUGAGAUGGGCUCUGGCUAUUCAGCCCUAUAAGUUUAAAGUCGUUUAUAUUUCUGGCUCUGAAAACCACUUUUCAGAUUGGCUGAGCCGAGGUUGUAUUUAGUGCUUUUCCCUCUGUUCGUUGACUUAUUGACUCCGUCCAUAAGUUUUGGAAGGGGGUAUUGUGAGGGAAAAGUAGGUGUAAGUGGGGUUAAGGUUGUUCGGGCAACCAGGAACCAUUAGCGAGUUACGUUGCGCGCCGCACUCACCCCCCCUCUCUGGCGGGCUGGGGCAAAACUAGUUCCUGGUGUCCGAUUUGUUAAAGUUUCUACUCUUGGUAAUAUUGACCUUACCUGGUGUGGACUGAAGUUAGGAGAGUCACUUCGCCUCCACUCUUCUCCUAAUCAGCUCUGUUCCUGGCGUGGUCUUCCAGGAUAGACGCCAGAUAAAGGGGCAAGACGUGUUAAUAGUACUUAUUAACAUUAUUCUACAACUACCGGCCCUUACCUAUACUACUUGUGCUCCAUCCAAGUGGUAGGAGAUUCCAGAACAUCGGAUUAC